rnacentral:rRNA from 1 species
GAUGAACGCUAGCGACAGGCCUAACACAUGCAAGUCGAGGGGCAGCGGGGCCUCAGCAAUGAGGUCGCCGGCGACCGGCGCACGGGUGCGUAACGCGUAUGGAACCUGUCCGGCGCAGGGGACCAGCCUCCCGAAAGGGAGAUUAAUCCCCCGUAAGAACAGGAGGGGCAUCCCUCUUGUUGGAAAGCCGCGAGGCGGCGCCGGGUGGCCAUGCGUCCCAUUAGGUAGAUGGCGGUGCAGCGGACCACCAUGCCGACGAUGGGUAGGGGAUCUGAGAGGACGGCCCCCCACACUGGUACUGAGACAGGGACCAGACUCCUACGGGAGGCAGCAGUGAGGAAUAUUGGUCAAUGGGCGAGAGCCUGAACCAGCCAAGUAGCGUGCAGGAUGACGGCCCUAUGGGUUGUAAACUGCUUUUAUAAGGGAAUAAAGUUAGUCUCGUGAGACUUUUUGCAUGUACCUUAUGAAUAAGGACCGGCUAAUUCCGUGCCAGCAGCCGC